CCCAGGGGGCGACCCAGGCU
rnacentral:miRNA from 1 species